rnacentral:rRNA from 1 species
ACCCGCUGAACUUAAGCAUAUCAAUAAGCGGAGGAAAAGAAACCAACAGGGAUUACCUCAGUAACGGCGAGUGAAGCGGUAACAGCUCAAAUUUGAAAUCUGGCCUCACGGUCCGAGUUGUAAUUUGUAGAGGAUGCUUCGAGCAUGGUCUGGCCUAAGUUCCUUGGAACAGGACGUCAUAGAGGGUGAGAAUCCCGUAUGCGGCCAGGUGCCUACGCUCAUGUGAAGCUCCUUCGACGAGUCGAGUUGUUUGGGAAUGCAGCUCAAAAUGGGUGGUAAAUUUCAUCUAAAGCUAAAUAUUGGCCAGAGACCGAUAGCGCACAAGUAGAGUGAUCGAAAGAUGAAAAGCACUUUGGAAAGAGAGUUAAACAGUACGUGAAAUUGUUGAAAGGGAAGCGCUUGCAACCAGACUUGCGCGCGGCCGAUCAUCCGGUGUUCUCACCGGUGCACUCGGCCGUGCUCAGGCCAGCAUCGGUUUUGGCGGCUGGAUAAAGGCCCUAGGAAUGUAGCUCCUCUCGGGGAGUGUUAUAGCCUAGGGUGCAAUGCAGCCUGCUGGGACCGAGGACCGCGCUUCGGCUAGGAUGCUGGCGUAAUGGUUGUAAGCGGCCCGUCUUGAAACACG